ensembl:misc_RNA Metazoa_SRP Metazoan signal recognition particle RNA
GCCAGGUGUGGUGGUGUGCACUUGUAGUCCCAGCUACUCAGGAGGCUGAGGUGGGAGGAUCGCUUGAGCCCAGGAGGUCAGAGGUGCAGUGAGCUGAGAUUGCACCACUGCAUUCCAGCCUGAGUAACAAAGUGAGACCCUGUCUCAA